rnacentral:rRNA from 1 species
GAUGAACGCUGGCGGCGUGCCUAAUACAUGCAAGUCGAGCGAACAGACGAGGAGCUUGCUCCUCUGACGUUAGCGGCGGACGGGUGAGUAACACGUGGAUAACCUACCUAUAAGACUGGGAUAACUUCGGGAAACCGGAGCUAAUACCGGAUAACAUGUUGAACCGCAUGGUUCAACAGUGAAAGACGGUCUUGCUGUCACUUAUAGAUGGAUCCGCGCCGCAUUAGCUAGUUGGUAAGGUAACGGCUUACCAAGGCAACGAUGCGUAGCCGACCUGAGAGGGUGGUCGGCCACACUGGAACUGAGACACGGUCCAGACUCCUACGGGAGGCAGCAGUAGGGAAUCUUCCGCAAUGGGCGAAAGCCUGACGGAGCAACGCCGCGUGAGUGAAGAAGGUCUUCGGAUCGUAAAACUCUGUUAUUAGGGAAGAACAAAUGUGUAAGUAACUAUGCACGUCUUGACGGUACCUAAUCAGAAAGCCACGGCUAACUACGUG